rnacentral:misc_RNA from 1 species
CGCUGGCGCGAGGCACCGCCCGGCUACGGUCCGCACAAGACGAUCGACAACCGGUUCGUGCGCUGGAGCCGCCUCGGCGUGUUCAACAGCAUUUUCGCUGAGCUGGCGCGCAAGGCCGGCAACCCAUCCCGGCUGAUGAUCGAUGCCACCCAUCUGAAGGCGCAUCGCCCCGCCGCGAGCCUUUUAAAAAAGUUCCCCGACGUAUCGGGCGCACCAAGGGCGGCCUGAACUCGAAGCUGCACGCCGUGUGCGAUGGCCAGGGACGACCCGUCCUCAUGCUGCUCAGCGAAGGCCAAAUGAGCGACUACAAAGGCGCAGCCUUGAUGAUCGAUGCGCUGCCGCGCGCGAAGCAAUUGCUCGGCGACAAGGGCUAUGACGCUGACUGGUUCCGCCAGGCUCUCGCUGAACGCGGCAUCACCGCAUGCAUCCCAUCCAGGUCCAACCGCAAAAAGCCGAUCGAACAUGACCGCGAACUCUAUCGCCAGCGGCACAAGAUCGAAAACAUGUUCGGCAGGCUCAAGGAUUGGCGGCGCAUCCACACCCGCUACGACCGAUGCGCGCACACCUUCAUGUCCGCCAUCUGCAUCGCAGCCACCGUCAUCUUCUGGCUCUGAUCAAUGAGUCCCGAGCCUAGACGUUCUCGCAACGGAUCUAGUGAAUGCGCGCUGAUUCCUGCUCUGCAAGUUUUAGUCGUCCGUGAAGAACGUUGAUCUCAGGCUGGAUUGAUCGCCGUCUCCCCGAAGAGAGUGCUGAGGAUUCGGCACAACACAAGGCUGAGCCAGCGGAUCAGGCGGCGGAAGUUGUAGCCGACGGCGGCAAGG